AUACUUACCUGGUACGGGAGCAACCCCUGAUCCGCUAGGUGGUCCUCCCAGGGCGGGGCUAACCAUUUCCACCUCGGAUGGGGCUGACCCUGCCGAUCGCCCCAAUGUGGGCGACUCGGAGUACGAAAUUUUUUAGUGUGGGGAGUCUGCGGUUCGCGCUAACCCCCC
rnacentral:snRNA from 1 species